AGUUGUUUUUUUUCUGCUCAGGACGAACGCUGGCGGCGUGCCUAAUACAUGCAAGUCGAGCGGACAGAUGGGAGCUUGCUCCCUGAUGUUAGCGGCGGACGGGUGAGUAACACGUGGGUAACCUGCCUGUAAGACUGGGAUAACUCCGGGAAACCGGGGCUAAUACCGGAUGCUUGUUUGAACCGCAUGGUUCAAACAUAAAAGGUGGCUUCGGCUACCACUUACAGAUGGACCCGCGGCGCAUUAGCUAGUUGGUGAGGUAACGGCUCACCAAGGCAACGAUGCGUAGCCGACCUGAGAGGGUGAUCGGCCACACUGGGACUGAGACACGGCCCAGACUCCUACGGGAGGCAGCAGUAGGGAAUCUUCCGCAAUGGACGAAAGUCUGACGGAGCAACGCCGCGUGAGUGAUGAAGGUUUUCGGAUCGUAAAGCUCUGUUGUUAGGGAAGAACAAGUACCGUUCGAAUAGGGCGGUACCUUGACGGUACCUAACCAGAAAGCCACGGCUAACUACGUGCCAGCAGCCGCGGUAAUACGUAGGUGGCAAGCGUUGUCCGGAAUUAUUGGGCGUAAAGGGCUCGCAGGCGGUUUCUUAAGUCUGAUGUGAAAGCCCCCGGCUCAACCGGGGAGGGUCAUUGGAAACUGGGGAACUUGAGUGCAGAAGAGGARAGUGGAAUUCCACGUGUAGCGGUGAAAUGCGUAGAGAUGUGGAGGAACACCAGUGGCGAAGGCGACUCUCUGGUCUGUAACUGACGCUGAGGAGCGAAAGCGUGGGGAGCGAACAGGAUUAGAUACCCUGGUAGUCCACGCCGUAAACGAUGAGUGCUAAGUGUUAGGGGGUUUCCGCCCCUUAGUGCUGCAGCUAACGCAUUAAGCACUCCGCCUGGGGAGUACGGUCGCAAGACUGAAACUCAAAGGAAUUGACGGGGGCCCGCACAAGCGGUGGAGCAUGUGGUUUAAUUCGAAGCAACGCGAAGAACCUUACCAGGUCUUGACAUCCUCUGACAAUCCUAGAGAUAGGACGUCCCCUUCGGGGGCAGAGUGACAGGUGGUGCAUGGUUGUCGUCAGCUCGUGUCGUGAGAUGUUGGGUUAAGUCCCGCAACGAGCGCAACCCUUGAUCUUAGUUGCCAGCAUUCAGUUGGGCACUCUAAGGUGACUGCCGGUGACAAACCGGAGGAAGGUGGGGAUGACGUCAAAUCAUCAUGCCCCUUAUGACCUGGGCUACACACGUGCUACAAUGGACAGAACAAAGGGCAGCGAAACCGCGAGGUUAAGCCAAUCCCACAAAUCUGUUCUCAGUUCGGAUCGCAGUCUGCAACUCGACUGCGUGAAGCUGGAAUCGCUAGUAAUCGCGGAUCAGCAUGCCGCGGGUGAAUACGUUCCCGGGCCUUGUACACACCGCCCGUCACACCACGAGAGUUUGUAACACCCGAAGUCGGUGAGGUAACCUUUUAGGAGCCAGCCGCCGAAGGUGGGACAGAUGAUUGGGGUGAAUUACAAAGGGGGGAGCAC
rnacentral:rRNA from 1 species